rnacentral:rRNA from 1 species
GAUGAACGCUGGCGGCGUGCCUAAUACAUGCAAGUCGAGCGAACAGACGAGGAGCUUGCUCCUCUGACGUUAGCGGCGGACGGGUGAGUAACACGUGGAUAACCUACCUAUAAGACUGGGAUAACUUCGGGAAACCGGAGCUAAUACCGGAUAAUAUAUUCAACCGCAUGGUUCAAUAGUUAAAGACGGUUUUGCUGUCACUUAUAGAUGGAUCCGCGCCGCAUUAGCUAGUUGGUAAGGUAACGGCUUACCAAGGCGACGAUGCGUAGCUGACCUGAGAGGAUGGCGAGGCACACGGGAACUGUGAACCGGGCACGCCUCCGACGGGAGGCAGCAGUGGGGAAUAUGGCAAAAGGGGCGCAAGCCUGUUGAAGCCAUGCAGGGUGUAUGAAAAAGGCCUUCGGUUUCUAAAGUACUUUUAGCGGGGAGGAAGGGAGUAAAGUUAAUAACUUUGCUCAUUGACGUGGCCCGCAGAAGAAGCACCGGCUAACUCCGUG